rnacentral:rRNA from 1 species
AUUGAACGCUGGCGGCGGGCCUAACACAUGCAAGUCGAACGAGUGGCGGAUGGGUGAGUAAUGUCUGGGAAACUGCCUGAUGUAGGGGGAUAACUACUGGAAACGGUAGCUAAUACCGCAUACCAUCAGAUCUGCCCAGGUGGGAUUAGCUUGUUGGUGGGGUAACGGCUCACCAAGGCGACGAUCCCUAGCUGGUCUGAGAGGAUGACCGGCCACACUGGAACUGAGACACGGCCCAGACUCCUACGGGAGGCAGCAGUGGGGAAUAUGGGGCAAUGGGCGAAAGCCUGAUGCAGCCAUGCCGCGUGUAUGAAGAAGGCUUUCGGGUUGUAAAGUACUUUUGUCGGGGAGGCGUUACCCGCAGAAGAAGCACCGGCUAACUCCGUGCCAGCCGCCGCGGUAAUAC